rnacentral:rRNA from 1 species
CAGCAGCCACGGGAAUACGAAGGGGGCUAGCGUUGCUCGGAAUUACUGGGCGUAAAGGGCGCGUAGGCGGACAGUUAAGUUGGGGGUGAAAGCCCGGGGCUCAACCUCGGAAUUGCCUUCAAUACUGGCUGUCUUGAGUAUGAGAGAGGUGUGUGGAACUCCGAGUGUAUAGGUGAAAUUUGUAGAUAUUCGGAAGAACACCAGUGGCGAAGGCGACACACUGGCUCAUUACUGACGCUGAGGCGCGAAAGCGUGGGGAGCAAACAGGAUUAGAUACCCCCGUAGUCCCUGUCUCUUAUAC